UACGGGGGGGGCAAGCGUUGUUCGGAAUUACUGGGCGUAAAGGGCUCGUAGGCGGCCAACUAAGUCAGACGUGAAAUCCCUCGGCUUAACCGGGGAACUGCGUCUGAUACUGGAUGGCUUGAGUUUGGGAGAGGGAUGCGGAAUUCCAGGUGUAGCGGUGAAAUGCGUAGAUAUCAGGAGGAACACCGGUGGCGAAGGCGGCUUUCUGGACAGUAACUGACGCUGAGGCGCGAAAGCCGGGGGAGCAAACAGG
rnacentral:rRNA from 1 species